GACAGAGGUGCCGAGCGUUAGGCGGAAUCACUGGGCUUAAAGCGUGUGUAGGCGGAUGGGUAAGUACCUUGUGAAAUCCCACGGCUCAACCGUGGAACUGCUCGGUAUACUGCUCGUCUUGAGCCAACUAGGGGCGACCGGAACAAACGGUGGAGCGGUGAAAUGCGUAGAUAUGUGGAGGAACACCAGUGGCGAAGGCGGCUCACUGGACCAUUACUGACGCUGAUGCUCGAAAGCUAGGGGAGCAAACAGG
rnacentral:rRNA from 1 species